rnacentral:lncRNA from 1 species
UUAAAAGUCAAUAAAAAAUUAAUCAAAAGCUGCUGGUGAAGUGUUAAUCCACAUUGAAAAACUUAUUGUUAUUAAUGAAAAGAGCAGUUUUAAAAUUUUGGAAAUGGAAGACGAAAAGGUGAAGGUGCACAUAGAACUACUCUCUCAUUUUUGUUGCUGUUUUGGUAUAAAAAAGUUGUGUUGUCACUGUUAAAACAUAUCCGCUAAUUGUUUUAUAAAUUUCUGAGGGGGCUUAAUACUUUUACUGGUCCCAAUUAUUGUUGGUUAUAUUCGAAAUGAUCUCCAUUUUUUUUUUUUCAAUAUAGUCCUAAUGAAUGUAAUUUGUGUUCAAUUUAAUCCUUUUCGCAAAUGUCGUUUAAAUAGUUAAUGAUCAUUGCUCCAGCUAUGCAAACCCCAAAUGAGAUGACAUUUAACUACUGCCACGUCACCAUCUUCUUGAACCUUCAACCGAACCCUAACGCCACCAUAGAGAUCGUCCAAAGUCACCAUGUCGCCGUGAAGUCGUGCCUGCAAAGAACCAUGGCAGCCAUCACGCACAACCUUCAUGGCCACCACCAUCAAAGUAACCAUCUCCCCCAAAUCUCACGAAACUCUCCUCAGGCCGUUGCGCUAACCAGAUCACCUCUGCGCCUUCGCCAUGACAGGAUUUUCUCAAGUCGCCGCUGCCAACAUCUCAUACCUGCAAAUCAAACACAAGCACCUAGAAACAGAGAAAGCUGAAUCGCACCACCCAAACCGCUAAGUCUUCACCGACAAUAAUGUCGCAACCCACCCUAAUCUCGAAUUCCAUUCAAAUCUUCAUUCUCGCGUAUCAGCCAUGAAUCAUCCAAAUCGAGAGCUUCAUCGUCAGCGUGACAAUCCUUGUCACCGUUGCGCAAAGCUCCAGGGCCAUCAUCUUCUCCAACAUGCAGAGAACCACAUCGAAAUCUAGAAAAAAUCCCAAAUCAAAGAGACAUAGAAUCGUGUCGUUGCUUGUCUCCAUGAGUGCUUUCUUACACAACUAGGUUCGUCUUCUUCAUGCUACCCUAAGUCACACAAUUCAUGAAAUCAUCUUCCAUUGAAGCAAAACCACGAGCAACAUUUUCCUUCUCGCAGCGUAAGAAGGUUUCCCUCAAAUGCAGAACCCUAAUUUUGGGGUGGUAAAGAGACUACCACGAAGACUCUAUUUUUGGAUUUGGAGUUUGUACAGUUGGAGCAUUGGCUAUUAACAAUUUUAAUGACAUUUGCAAAAAGGACUAAAUUAAACAUAAAUUACGAUAUUUAAAACUACAUUAAACCGAAAAAAAAAAUUAGAACCAUUCCGAACAUAGUCAACCAAAAGUGCAACAAUAAGCCAAUUUCGAAAUAUAUUACAAAAAUAAACAUAAAAAAAGAAAAGGCAUACGGUUCCACCUUUGUUUAUGUAAAUUCUUAAUCAUUAACUUUCGUCUUUAUGGUAUUUUAAAAUCUAUAAAUAAUACUUAAAUUCUAAUAUUUUAUUCUUCCUAACCACACUUAUGUGGAAAGUGCUGUCAGAAGCAAUUGUUGUAUUUGUAUUCUCUGAAUCUAUUGGCCAUCUCUAUUUAUAGUAUCAUCAUCAGGUCUAGGUCUGAUUCAGACGUGUUUCAAAAAAAUAAAAUAAAAUAAUACAUAUAUAUAUAUAUAUAUAUAUAUAUAUAUAUUAUAUAAAAAAUGCUACAAACAAAAUGGUAGGUAAAAACCCCUCUACAUUUCCACCACUUUCUUUUAUUAAUAUGAUGCCAAAUAUUAUAACUUUUAUAUCAUUUAAAAAUUAUUACAUUUAUUUUAUAAUUUGUUUUAAUAAUAUAAUAAUAUAUAUUAUAAUUUUAAUUGAAAAUAAAAUAAAUAUAAUAAAAAAAUAUUAUUUUAAAUCGUAAAACAAUGUUUUUAGUUGUUUUUGGUGGAUAUCAAAAUAUUACCUGUCCUAAAUGAUCUUAAAACAAAGACUAAAAACUUUUAUGAAUUAUGAUUUGUAAACCAUAUCAAUUUCAAUAUGAAUAAAUCGAAGUAAACAAUUUGUUGUAUCUAAUAAUGAAAGUUUAAUUUUUAAUUUUUAUUUUUAUAGUAUUAUAUUAAUUAUUUAUUUUAUUGUAAUAAAUAAAAAUAUUAAUAUUAAUAAAUAAUUAAAAGUACUUGUUACUUUGUCAUUGGGUUUUCUCUAAUGCUUGAUUUCAUAUUAGAUCAUAUACCCAGAAAUGUAAUAUCCCGAUAGAAAAUUUCAAAAGAUUCGAAUACUUUAUAAAAAUAAAAAUAAAAACACUCAAUAAGUGUUGAUAAAUUGUGGGCGUGUUUGCCAAUAUCUCUUAGCGCAAAUAAAAUAAUAAUUGAAAUAAUGGUGGCUUAUGCGCUGGGUUGGUGGCUGUGUAAAGUGAAUAAUGUUUUGUGAGUCUUUCUACUUACCUUUUUUUAUUAAUAGUUGUCUGUUUAAACUUUUUUUUUUAUCAUAAUGUGAUUUUCUACGUAUAAAAGUUAAAUAAUUUAUUUAUGAUUUCAACGACAUAUUUAUAUUUUUUCAAAGUAUCAAAGAUGCAUCACAAACAAAUAAAAAGAGCACUCAAAUGUAACAAUUUUAAACAAAUUCAAUUCUUUUCUUGUUCCUACUCUGCCACAUAUUUUUUCUUAAACAAGAAAGAUGCUCACAAAAAUCAUAUUAAUAUUAGUCAUAAUAUAGACUAAGUAAAGCAUGACGAACAUAAAUAAUUAAAAAUAAAAAAAUAGAAAUAUGGAAGAAAAAACUGUACUGCAAGUGAGUGACUGAAGCUCUAGACACAUGACUUAAUAUAUAUAUAUAUAUAUAGAGAGAGAGAGAGGUUUAUUACCUUGUAUAUGAAUUUGACAGUUAUCACUUAAUGCAUUCGAGUCUUUUACAAGGUUGUUUGGAGAAAGAAGAUGUUGUAGAGUUUGGUGAAAUAAUUCUGAAAGGCUUGUAAUUAAGAAAAGUUGAACAAGUUAAAUAAUAAAAAAAGGAAGGAAGAGAGAUGUGUGAACUCAAAGGUGUGUUGAGAAUAGAAGAAAACUUACAGAUUAUGUUGAACUGAGCUGAUAUAAGAAAAUGAGUUUUUGAUGAGGAUGAGACUGAGAAAGAGUUGGUAGCUUUAGGAUUAGACUUCUUUCUAUAACUCAUACAUUCAACAAAGUGAACCAGAUUUUAUCACUUGAGAGUUGUUACUGUGCGAAACAGAGAAAUGAGGAUGAAUUUGGGGCUAGCUUUACAUGUGUGUCCCUCUUAUUUGUUUUGAUAUGAAAAAGUCACAUUGAUAACCAACCAUGGAAAAGAGUGCUGAAAUGAUAUACAUUAAUU